rnacentral:rRNA from 1 species
AGCAGCCGCGGUAAUUCCAGCUCCAAUAGCGUAUAUUAAAGUUGUUGCAGUUAAAAAGCUCGUAGUUGAAUUUUGGAUUCUGCCAAUUGGUCCAUCUUUUAGAUGAGUACUGGUUGUGUGGGGUCUAUCCGCCUGGUAAUACGUAAUGUCCUUUAUUGGAUGUUGCGGGUAGCCAGGACCUUUACCUUGAAAAAAUUAGAGUGUUUAAAGCAGGCUUAUGCCGGAAUACAUUAGCAUGGAAUAAUAGAAUAGGACGAAGUUGUUUUAUUUUGUUGGUUUCUAGGACAACCGUAAUGAUUAAUAGGGAUAGUUGGGGGCAUUAGUAUUCAAUUGUCAGAGGUGAAAUUCUUGGAUUUAUUGAAGACUAACUACUGCGAAAGCAUUUGCCAAGGAUGUUUUCAUUAAUCAAGAACGAAAGUUAGGGGAUCGAAGACGAUCAGAUACCGUCGUAGUCUUAACCAUAAACUAUGCCGACUAGGGAUCGGGCGAUGUUGUUUCCAUGACUCGCUCGGCACCUUAUG